UAGGGAAUAUUGGUCAAUGGGUGGAAGCCUGAACCAGCCAUGCCGCGUGCAGGAAGACGGCCUUCUGGGUUGUAAACUGCUUUUAUCUGGGGAUAAAAUACCCUUGCGAGGGAGACUGAAGGUACCAGAUGAAUAAGCCACGGCUAACUACGUGCCAGCAGCCGCGGUAAUACGUAGGUGGCAAGCGUUGUCCGGAUUCAUUGGGUUUAAAGGGUGCGUAGGCGGCCAUUUAAGUCAGUGCUGAAAUAUCACAGCUUAACUGUGAGGGUGGCAUUGAUACUGGGUGGCUUGAGUGCUAGCGAGGCAGGCGGAAUUGACGGUGUAGCGGUGAAAUGCUUAGAUAUCGUCAAGAACACCGAUAGUGUAGACAGCUUGCCAGGGAGCAACUGACGCUGAGGCACGAAAGUGUGGGGAUCAAACAG
rnacentral:rRNA from 2 species